GGAGAGGUUCCCGAGUGGCCAAGGGAGCAGACUGUAAAUCUGCCGCGAAAGCUUCGAAGGUUCGAAUCCUUCCCUCUCCACCA
rnacentral:tRNA from 1 species